rnacentral:rRNA from 1 species
AUGCUGACGAGUGGCGAACGGGUGAGUAAUGCAUCGGAACGUGCCCAGUCGUGGGGGAUAACGCAGCGAAAGCUGUGCUAAUACCGCAUACGAUCUAUGGAUGAAAGCGGGGGAUCGAAAGACCUCGCGCGAUUGGAGCGGCCGAUGUCAGAUUAGCUAGUUGGUGGGGUAAAGGCCCACCAAGGCGACGAUCUGUAGCUGGUCUGAGAGGACGACCAGCCACACUGGGACUGAGACACGGCCCAGACUCCUACGGGAGGCAGCAGUGGGGAAUUUUGGACAAUGGGCGCAAGCCUGAUCCAGCAAUGCCGCGUGCAGGAAGAAGGCCUUCGGGUUGUAAACUGCUUUUGUACGGAACGAAAAGGUCUGGGUUAAUACCCUGGGCUCAUGACGGUACCGUAAGAAUAAGCACCGGCUAACUACGUGCCAGCAGCCGCGGUAAUA